rnacentral:rRNA from 1 species
AUUGAACGCUGGCGGCAGGCCCAACACAUGCAACUCGAGCGGAUGAAGGGAGCUUGCUCCUGGAUUCAGCGGCGGACGGGUGAGUAAUGCCUAGGAAUCUGCCUGGUAGUGGGGGAUAACGUCCGGAAACGGGCGCUAAUACCGCAUACGUCCUGAGGGAGAAAGUGGGGGAUCUUCGGACCUCACGCUAUCAGAUGAGCCUAGGUCGGAUUAGCUAGUUGGUGGGGUAAAGGCCUACCAAGGCGACGAUCCGUAACUGGUCUGAGAGGAUGAUCAGUCACACUGGAACUGAGACACGGUCCAGACUCCUACGGGAGGCAGCAGUGGGGAAUAUUGGACAAUGGGCGAAAGCCUGAUCCAGCCAUGCCGCGUGUGUGAAGAAGGUCUUCGGAUUGUAAAGCACUUUAAGUUGGGAGGAAGGGCAGUAAGUUAAUACCUUGCUGUUUUGACGUUACCAACAGAAUAAGCACCGGCUAACUUCGUG